rfam:Schistosoma mansoni strain Puerto Rico chromosome 3, complete genome
AUCCAGCUGGCGAGUACCAAAUAGGACGAAACGCGCAUCCUGGAU